rnacentral:rRNA from 1 species
GUCCAGACUCCUACGGGAGGCAGCAGUGGGGAAUAUUGCACAAUGGGGGAAACCCUGAUGCAGCGACGCCGCGUGAGUGAAGAAGUAUUUCGGUAUGUAAAGCUCUAUCAGCAGGGAAGAAAAAAGACGGUACCUGACUAAGAAGCCCCGGCUAACUACGUGCCAGCAGCCGCGGUAAUACGUAGGGGGCAAGCGUUAUCCGGAAUUACUGGGUGUAAAGGGUGCGUAGGUGGCAUGGUAAGUCAGAAGUGAAAGCCCGGGGCUUAACCCCGGGACUGCUUUUGAAACUGUCAUGCUGGAGUGCAGGAGAGGUAAGCGGAAUUCCUAGUGUAGCGGUGAAAUGCGUAGAUAUUAGGAGGAACACCAGUGGCGAAGGCGGCUUACUGGACUGUCACUGACACUGAUGCACGAAAGCGUGGGGAGCAAACAGGAUUAGAUACCCGAGUA